rnacentral:rRNA from 1 species
GCGAACGCUGGCGGCAGGCUUAACACAUGCAAGUCGAGCGCCCGUAGCAAUACGGGAGCGGCAGACGGGAGAGUAACACGUGGGAACGUACCUUUCAGUUCGGAACAACCCAGGGAAACUUGGGCUAAUACCGGAUACGCCCGCAAGGGGAAAGAUUUAUCGCUGAAAGAUCGGCCCGCGUCCGAUUAGCUAGUUGGUGAGGUAAUGGCUCACCAAGGCGACGAUCGGUAGCUGGUCUGAGAGGAUGAUCAGCCUCACUGGGACUGAGACACGGCCCAGACUCCUACGGGAGGCAGCAGUGGGGAAUAUUGGACAAUGGGCGCAAGCCUGAUCCAGCCAUGCCGCGUGGGUGAUGAAGGCCCUAGGGUUGUAAAGCCCUUUCGGCGGGGAAGAUAAUGACGGUACCCGCAGAAGAAGCCCCGGCUAACUUCGU